GCUUUAUAGUUUAAUAAAAUAUAAAUCUUGUAAAUUUAUGAUAUAGGCCCCCUAUUAAAGCUAA
rnacentral:tRNA from 1 species